AUUGAACGCUGGCGGAAUGCUUUACACAUGCAAGUCGAACGGCAGCACGGGUGCUUGCACCUGGUGGCGAGUGGCGAACGGGUGAGUAAUACAUCGGAACGUACCCAGUCGUGGGGGAUAACGUAGCGAAAGUUACGCUAAUACCGCAUACGUCCUGAGGGAGAAAGCGGGGGACCGUAAGGCCUCGGCCGAUUGGAGCGGCCGAUGGCGGAUUAGCUAGUUGGUGGGGUAAAGGCCUACCAAGGCGACGAUCCGUAGCGGGUCUGAGAGGACGGCCCGCCACACUGGAACUGAGACACGGUCCAGACUCCUACGGGAGGCAGCAGCGGGGAAUUUUGGACAAUGGGCGAAAGCCUGAUCCAGCCAUUCCGCGUGAGUGAAGAAGGCCUUCGGGUUGUAAAGCUCUUUCGGCAGGGAAGAAACGGCUUGGGAUAAUACCCCGGGCUAAUGACAGUACCUGAAGAAGAAGCACCGGCUAACUACGUGCCAGCCGCCGCCGUAA
rnacentral:rRNA from 1 species